rfam:Erinaceus europaeus unplaced genomic scaffold scaffold00826, whole genome shotgun sequence
UAGCUCAGUUGGUAGAGCAUGAGACUCUUAAUCUCAGGGUCGUGGGUUCGUGCCCCAC